rnacentral:tRNA from 1 species
GGCUCGUUAGGCAAACUGGCAAAGCCGCCAAGCUCAGACCUUGGUGUAUCAGAGUUCGACUCUCUGGCGAGCUAC